CUCCAAUAAGUUAUUGAAAAGUGUAGCAGACUUGCAAUCUUUCCAUUUCCAACUCUCCUAUGAGUCAGCUUGUAGGAAAGAAAUCAGACAAUUAAGCAGCAUAUAUAUAAUAUUUUGUUACUUGUAUUGUUGUCCUUUAACUUUUAUGAAGCAACUAACAUCAUAAAUUGCAAGACAUUAUUGUAUCUUUCAGUACUAAACAGAAUAUUUUCACUAUGUGGCAAAAACAAUCCUUCUAAAUUUGCACUUAUAUGAUUUUACCUUUGAGAUGAAUUAAUCUCUUCAAUUGGAUAGUAUAAUUGACAAUUUCCAAAGCUAGGUCUGAGGGGAAGAAAGGAGAGAAAAUCAGGAUCAGCUUGGCAUUAUUAAUGGAAAUGGGCCUGUUAAUCUUUUGUCUCAUCUUUUAUGUGUGGAGAAAGAAGCAGAAGCAGCAGAUAAAGAGAAAAAGAACAAUGAGAGAUAUCUUUAAACAAGGUUGCAACAAUGAAAGCCAGAAGCAAGACUUAGAGCUACCACUGUUUGAUUUAGCUACAAUAAUGAAUGCUACCAGUAACUUUUCAGCAAGCAAUAAGCUUGGAGAGGGGGGUUUUGGCACUGUCUACAAGGGUACGCUGGAAGAGAGACAACAAAUAGCUGCGAAGAGGCUUUCGAGGAACUCUAGACAAGGAAUUGAUUAAUUCAAGAUGAAGUUAUAUGGAUUGCCAAACUCUAGCAUCAGAAUCUUGUAAAGCUUCUAGGGAGCUGCAUUCAAGGAGAAGAGAAGAUGUUGAUCUAUGAAUACAUGCCUAACAAAAGCUUGGACUCCUUUAUUUUUGGUCCGGCUUUGUCAAAACCAUAGUAAUUUUUAGAUCAAAAAGUGUACUACAUUUUUCAAGUAUUCCAUCUACUGGUGUGGUGGUUUGGCACAAAGUUCCUCUAGAAUUUGGUUGGACCAAGUUCAAAUGGCUGCCUAUGUGAGCAGAGAAAUGAAGUACCUGCCAUCUUGCAAUUAUUAUUGUUAUUUUUUAAAUAAAAAGUAAUUCAAGUGGCUGCCUAUGUGAAUUUGUUGCCAAUCGAAUGUUCGUGUAUUCAAAGUUAAAAAUACUUUUUUACACUCAAAUAUAUAAACACAGUUAACUUAGUCAAAGAUAUGCAGAUCCAAUCCGAAGCACCAUACUUGAUUGGCCAAAGCGCUUUCACAUUAUCAAUGGAAUUGCUCAAGCAUUUCUUUUUCUUUAUCUUUAUCAAGAUUCAAGACUAAGAAUUAUCCACAGGGAUCUCAAAGUUAGCAAUGUUUUGUUAGAUAUUGUCAUGAACCCAAAGAUAUCAGACUUCGGCAUGGCUAGAAGUUUCAAAGGAGAUGAGACAGAAGCAAACACAAAUAGAGUGGUUGGAACAUAUGACUACAUGUCUCCAAAAUAUGCGGUUGAUGGAUAUUUCUCAGUAAAGUCAGAUAUAUUCAGCUUUGGUGUUUUGGUUUUGGAGAUUAUGAGCGGGAAGAGAAACAAAUCCGGAUCAUAACCUCAACCUUCUUAGACAUGCAUGGAUGGUGUAUAAAGAGGGCAAGUCCUUUGAUUUGCUUGAUGAAGUUGUAAGGGACUCUUGUCAUGUACAUGAAGUGUUGAGAUCAAUUCAUGCGUGUCUAUUGUGUGUGCGACAAAGUCCAAAAGAUAGGUCAACC